GGAGGGAUGGCCGAGCGGACGAAGGCGGUGGUCUUGAAAACCACUGUGGCAGCAAUGUCACCGGGGGUUCGAAUCCCUCUCCCUCCG
rnacentral:tRNA from 1 species